rnacentral:lncRNA from 1 species
GGAAGAGAGGCAGUGUGACCUGGAGCCUGGGACCCUGUGGGGGAAUUGCUGUGUUCCUUUCCACCCGGCUCUUGCCCGAUUACCAUAAAACAACCUCGACAGCCAGACACUUCUAAUAGUUAACUGUCUAGCAAAAGGCUGCAUUGUCUUUGGUGCCUUAAACACAGACCUUUUAAUUGGAAUUGCUUCCUAAAUCAGCUACAUAUAUCUUCUCUCCUCCCACACAAAAGAAUCCAUUGUGUUGGUCUUGGACGAACUGGAUGCUCCUUUGAUAUACUUUGCAUGUAAAUGUAAGGAACAAGACUCAUUUGAUUUCAUUAUAUCCUUUAUUGAUGUGCCUGCAGGAUUUUAUUGUAGGUUUUUGUGACUCGAAUUUCUAACAAAGGAGGGAGUGGGGCUUCCGGGCUGGCAGCUCAGCUGCAGAGAGGAUUUACCACUUUGGGCUCUAAAAGGAUGCUCACUGGUGGCUGUUGUCAUUACUAAGCUUUUAACAGGGCUGGAUGUUUCAGGAGCUGCUGCUGUUCCAUGACUGUAAAAGUGUUAUCAAGCAUGAGAUGAAUGCUUCUUGCCAUUGUGCAGGGGGUGGGGAAUUUACCGAGUCUGCCCGAAAAGAGAGGCAGGAUGACAUGGUAUCACAGGGAAAAGUGCUCAUGUGCCAGGACUGACAGAGCUGGUACCUAAUCCUUACAACCGGUUGAUGACAGGCUCCUGGGACUAUAGAAUGGGGUUAAUUAUUCCCAGCAUUCUUCAUUAUAAUUCUAAAUGGGAUAAUGAUAAGAAGUAAUACCUAGGCAUUGAACUGUAAAUGCCUGAGGCAUUCUCCUGCUGGAGAAACUAGCACUUUUUCCUAUGGUGUGUUAAUUCUUUUCAGCACUACCUUUUUUUUCUUUCCCUCUCCCAGGUUUAGUCAGUCUUUUAAAUAAUUGGAGCCUCUGCAACUCUGUCAUGCCAAAUAGAAACAAUUAACAAGAACCAAGAGCUGAUGAAGCACCAGAAGGCCCACCUGGGACCACCCCCACAUCAGCCAAGGUUUUGUCAGCUGAAGAAAACAAAAACACCCUGUGUGGGAGCUCUGAGUUCAGUUUUAUUUGGGGCUCACUGUGGACAGGAGACAACCUCUCAGAUAGCUCAGAGGAACUGCUCCAAAGAGGUAGGGGGUAAGGUCAGUAUAUAUAUGAUUUUGGUGAGGGGAGAUUAUAUGCAGUCUCACUCACAUCUUAGAAGUAGAAGGUUGCUCCUACUCAAGAGGAACAGAUGUCUCUGUUAAUGAUAUUAGUGCUGUUUUAGGAAUGAGAAGAUACAAGAAAUUGGGUUCAUAAAAUUUUCUUCUGAAAAAUACGUAACUGUCUAUCUGAAGCCCU